GGAGCAAUCCCCUUUUGCUGGACAUGCUUACAGAACUGUAUAGCCAUGGACCUCAAGGAGAAGUGUCAGGAUGAGAUGACCUCAAGUUUGGGCCUUACCACAAAGAAAGCCCUCACAAUCCUGAGAGACCAGUUGUCAGCACUGCUGGAGGGGCAUCAGAAGGAACGGAAAAAAGUGACUUCAUGGAAGGAGGUGUGGAGGAGCAGUUUUCUGUACCAUGGUAACCGUUGCUCCUGUUUCCACUGGCCUGGUGCAUCUCUGAUGCUUCUGGCAGUGCUGUUGCUGCUGUGCUGCUAUGGGAGCCAGCCACAGGGGAGCCAAGGUGCUGAGAUAGUUAAUGCACUGGCACUCUUCCUCCUUCUCCUCUUGGAUCUCUUCAUGAUUGGGCGUCAAGAGAGGCUGAAGUGCAGAGAGGUGGAGAGGAGACUUCAGACAAUCAUUGAUAAGAUAAACGAUACACUUGGCAAAGAGGUGAAAUGGCCAGACUCCAUGUACCCUGACCUUCAUAUGCCUUAUGCCCCAUCCUGGUCCCUUCACUGGGCCUACAGAGAUGGUCAUCUUGUCAACCUGCCUGUGAGCCUGUUAGUAGAAGGAGAUGUCAUUGCUUUGAGGCCAGGCCAGGAGUCAUUUGCUUCUCUGAGAGGGAUUAAGGAUGAUGAGCACAUAGUUCUGGAGCCAGGAGACCUGUUUCCACCUUUCUCACCUCCACCCUCCCCACGGGGAGAAGUGAAGAAGGGACCUCAGAACCCUCAGCUGUAUCGUCUCUUCCGUGUCUUGAAGACCCCAAUAAUUGAUAAUGUCAGGUGGUGUCUGGAAAUGGCUUUGUCACGUCCUGUGACAGCCCUGGAUAAUGAGAGAUUCACUGUACAGUCAGUGAUGCUGAAAUACGCUGUCCCUAUUGUACUGGCUGGCUUCCUGAUCACCAAUGCUGUACGCUUCAUUUUCAAAGCUCCUGGAAUUACUUCUUGGCAGUACACUCUUCUUCAGCUACAGGUGAAUGGUGUCCUACCCAUCCUUCCAUUGCUCUUUCCUGUCCUGUGGAUUCUUGCUACAGCCUUUGGAGAAGCCAGAGUCUUGGCCCAGAUGAGCAAGGCCUCAUCCACCUCACUGCUUGCUAAGUUUUCAGAGGACACUCUCAGCAGCUACACAGAGAUGGUAUCUUCUCAGGAAAUGAUACGCUGUAUCUGGAGCCACUUCCUCUGUGUUUUAAAAGGCAAAUCCCCAACUCUGAGCUUCACUUCCAGCUUGCUCCAUAGUCUGGGAUCUGUCACUGUGCUCUGCUGUGUAGACAAGCAGGGGAUUCUUUCCUGGCCAAACCCCAGCCCAGAGACUGUUCUGUUCUUCAGUGGGAAGGUGGAACCACCUCAUGAUAGCCAUGAAGAUCUGACUGAUGAGCUCUCUACACGGUCCUUCUGCCACCCUGAGAUGGAAGAUGAGCCCCAUGAAAGAGAUGCUUUGCUCUCUGGCCCCCUGGCAGACACAAUCCACAUGACCAAUGAGCAAGAGAGAAACAACUGGUCUAGUGACCCUCCAAAGGCUCCCGAUGCCCAUGCCCACCGAAAGCCAAACAGCAGAAGCAAGCAUCCCUCUGGGUCCAAUGUGAGUUUUAGCAAGGACACAGAGGGUGGAGAGGAGGAACAUACUCAGGUUGUUGGUGACAGUGAGGUGUUGGCUUGUGAGGCUGAAGACUUUGUGUGUGACUACCACCUUGAGAUGCUUAGCCUGUCCCAAGACCAGCAGAACCCCUCCUGCAUCCAGUUUGAUGACUCCAACUGGCAUAUGCACUUGAAUUCUCUCAAGCCUCUGGGCCUGAAUGUGCUGCUCAAUCUCUGCAAUGCAAGUGUGACAGAGCGUCUGUGCCGCUUCUCUGACCACCUCUGCAACAUUGCCCUCCAAGAAACUCACAAUGCUGUGCUGCCUGUCCAUGUGCCCUGGGGCCUCUGUGAGCUUGCCAGGCUAAUAGGUUUCACACCAGGUGCUAAAGAUCUUUUCAAGCAGGAAAACUAUUUGGCCUUGUACCGCUUGCCAAGUGAUGAGAUGGUUAAAGAAACAAUCCUGGGGAAGCUUUCAUCAAUUACCAAGAGGAGACCACCCCUGAGCCACAUGAUUAACCUUUUCGUGAAGGACACCACUACCAGCACUGAGCAGAUGUUUUCUCAUGGGACAGCUGACAUCAUCCUUGAGGCCUGCACAGACUUUUGGGAUGGUACCGAUAUCUACCCCCUCUCUGGCUCUGACAGGAAGAAGGUGUUAGAUUUCUACCAGCGAGCCUGCCUCUCAGGAUACUGUUCUGCCUUUGCAUACAAGCCAAUGCAUUGUGCCUUGUCCUCCCAGCUCAAUGGCAAGUGCAUAGAACUGGUGCAGGUCCCUGGGCAGAGUGCUAUCUUCACAUGCUGUGAUCUCCCUGGGACAACCCCCAUCAAACAGAGCAGCCGGAGGAAUAGCUGGAGCUCAGAUGAAGGGAUUGGGGAAGUGAUGGAGAAGGAAGACUGUAUCCAGGCUCUGAGCGGACAGAUCUUCAUGGGAAUGGUCUCAUCCCAGUAUCAGGCCCGUCUUGACAUUGUCCGCCUCAUUGAUGGAUUGGUCAAUGCCUGCAUUCGUUUUGUCUACUUCUCCCUGGAAGAUGAGCUCAAAAGCAAGGUGUUUGCUGAAAAGAUGGGUCUUGAGACUGGCUGGAACUGCCACAUAUCUUUAACCCCUAAUGGUGACGUGCCUGGCUCAGAGAUCCCUCCCUCUAGCCCUAGCCAUGCUGGCUCUCUGCAUGAUGACCUACACCAAGUUUCUCGAGAUGAUGUGGAGGGGCUUCUGCUGAUGGAAGAGGAAGGGCACUCGGAUCUCAUCAGCUUUCAGCCAACGGACAGUGAUAUCCCCAGCUUCCUGGAGGACUGUAAUAGGGCCAAACUCCCACGGGGGAUCCACCAGGUGAGACCUCACCUGCAGAAUAUAGACAAUGUGCCUUUGCUGGUGCCCCUCUUCACAGACUGCACCCCAGAGACCAUGUGUGAGAUGAUCAAGAUCAUGCAGGAGUAUGGGGAGGUGACUUGCUGUCUGGGAAGCUCUGCUAACCUGCGGAACAGCUGCCUCUUCCUGCAAAGUGAUAUCAGUAUAGCACUGGACCCUCUCUACCCAUCUCGCUGCUCCUGGGAGACUUUUGGCUAUGCCACCAGCACCACCAUGACUCAUGUCUCUGAUGAGCUCACCCCACUGCAGCUCUCAGGUCAACUGAACAGCCUACCUUGCUCCAUGUCCUUCCGCCAAGAAGAGAGUACCAGCAUCAUCAGACUUAUAGAGCAGGCCAGGCAUGCAACAUAUGGGAUCCGCAAGUGUUUCCUCUUCCUGCUGCAGUGCCAGCUGACCUUGGUUGUCAUUCAGUUCCUCUCCUGCCUGGUGCAGCUGCCCCCCAUCCUCAGUACCACGGACAUCGUGUGGCUCUCCUGUUUCUGCUACCCACUGCUCAGCAUCUCGCUCCUGGGCAAGCCUCCCCACAGCUCCAUCAUGACCAUGGCAACAGGAAAAAACUUGACUUCCAUUCCCAAGAAGACUCAGCACUACUUCCUGUUCUGCUUCCUGCUGAAAUUCAGCCUGACCAUCUGCUCCUGCCUCAUCUGCUUUGGGUUCACACUGCAUGAGUCCUGCAAAGAAGUGAACACUACCAGCCUCAACCUCACAGCCUGCUUCUCCAUCAUGCUGCACAGCAAUGCUGAUGGUGCUCCUGACUGGUUUGGGACAUUUUCCAAUGCUCUUCUUGUAGCCCAGAAGCUCACAGCUGGCCUGAUAGUUUUACACACAGUGUUCAUAUCCAUCACCCACGUCCAUCGCACCAAGCCGUUGUGGAAGAAGAGCCCCCUCUCCAACCGGUGGUGGACGCUCACUGUGGCUGUUGUAUUGCUGGGGCAAGUGGCGCAGACUGUGCUGGACCUGAAACUCUGGGAAAACCUCAAUUCUUCAUUGAACUUUAACCACGUUUCCAUCUCCCCGGUCUCAUGGCUCCUGGGUUUUCUUUCCUUGGUCCUUGUGGUUAUCAUCAAUGAAAUUGUCAAGCUGCAUGAAAUCAGGGUUCGGGUCCGUUACCAAAAGAGGCAGAAGUUGCAGUUUGAAACAAAGCUGGGGAUGAAUUCGCCAUUUUAAACACUCCCAGAUCAAGUCCCCUAGAGCCAAGGCCACACAGCCACAUCCUGCACUGGGAGAGUGGCUACACUGAAGGCUCAGGGAGUUUUCCCUCACACAUGCAAACCAGACAGCCUCCUUGCAAAACUACAUCAGCACCUUCCAGGGGGCCCCAGGCAGGGCACUGCUAUCAGGAUCCCCUAGCAGGUUUUUGUUAGUAUCAUGGUGAUGCUGAAAUGAAGUGACUCCUUGCCUCUGUGUGAGCAGAUGGGUUUCCUGGACCUGGCAGGAGAAUCUGGGGCCAGCAGGGGAGAUAUAGGGCUGCUGAAGCAAGAGAUCGCUAUUGAAACCCGUUUUGUUUUUCCAUCUCUGCGUGCUCUCCUGGAUGAUGCGUGUGUGCAUGCCUGUGCGUGCCCUCACCCACCUCCCUGUCCCUGUGUCCUGGGGCAAAGGAGCCAUCUCUUGCAGCUCCCAAGUGCUGGGUGCCAGGUGAGGACUAGAGCUCACAUCCCCAAGGGGACACUGGGAAGGGUCUCUGGCAGGGUGCUGGGAAAGCCCCUGCAAUGGCCAGGCUGUGCCAGGCCUGCCCUCUAGCGUUGUUGCUCUAGCCAUAUGCCGGCUGUUGAGUGUUUUAAGAGAAGAGAGGUAAGACAGGACUUUAAGAAUAGCUGUCUGCAUUUGACCCUAGUGAUCUGGUGCAGAGGGAGUCAGGAGGGCAGCUCUGCCUGCCUGCAGGGAGUCAGCAUGGCUCAGCUUUCUUCAGCCCUGUUGAACCAGCUCUUACCUGCUUUAACAACCCCCAGAGAGGUUUAUAACCAUCCUCAUUUUUGUGAUACGAAUUGCUGUUCUGCUUCAGUAAAAUGCCUGCUUGAGAGCACCAUAGCUAGAGAUAAAACCUGAGACCUGCCUAUCCUGCCAUGGAGGGAAGGGGACAUCUUAUCAGGCAGGAUAUCUGCAUCUUGCUGUUGUGACUAACACGGAGCUGGUGGGCGGCUCCUUUCCCAGUCCUGGGAUUGUGCUGCAUCCAGUACUGGCUCUCCAAGGCACAGGGAAACCCCCUAUAUCAUGUCUUUCUGUGAUAGUGUUUGGAAGUCUCUCCCCUCCAUGCUGCUGCCCUCACAUCUGUUCCCUGUUUUUCUGGAGGUCUCUUCUUCAUUUGGCAGGGGGAAACCUUCCCCUGAGGGCUGCUGCAAACCAUGAUUUGCCCCAAUGUGGCACACAUGCUCUUGGGCUCUGAACAGACCCCAGCUGUACUGGGAACACUGGUGCUGUUGUGGGCUGGCAGUCAAGGAGCACACACGCUUGGCUACUGGAAUAUGUGCAGCUCACAGAGAUGUUGACUCCCUUCCUAGUUCUAAAAACUGACUAAAGCUGGUAAGUCCUGGCACUGGUUUUGCUCCCAAUAUUAACACUACAAUAUACAGCUGUUACUUCCCCUUUGGUACCCAAGACUAACAAAUGGCUGCUGGUCCUUCCCUAGCAGGCAGGGAGCUGGCUGGGAACCCCCAAGCUCUGCCCUGCGGCUCCGCCUUGUCUUCCUUACAUUUCAGCAUGACCAGAGAGCAUGCACACUACCGCGUGUCUCUAAGCAAUACCCUUCUCCCUGCUGUGGUUCCGGCAGGAGGG